GACGAACGCUGGCGGCGUGCUUAACACAUGCAAGUCGAACGGAAAGGCCCUGCGUUUGUGGGGUGCUCGAUUGGCGAACGGGGGAGUAACACGUGAGUAACCUGCCCUUGACUUUGGGAUAACUUCAGGAAACUGGGGCUAAUACCGGAUAGGAGCUCCUGCUGCAUGGUGGGGAUUGGAAAGUGUCGGCGGUGGGGGAUGGACUCGCGGCUUAUCAGCUUGUUGGUGGGGUAGUGGCUUACCAAGGCUUUGACGGGUAGCCGGCCUGAGAGGGUGACCGGCCACAUUGGGACUGCGAUACGGCCCAGACUCCUACGGGAGGCAGCAGUGGGGAAUCUUGCACAAUGGGCGGAAGCCUGAUGCAGCAACGCCGCGUGCGGGAUGACGGCCUUCGGGUUGUAAACCGCUUUCGCCUGUGACGAAGCGUGAGUGACGGUAAUGGGUAAAGAAGCACCGGCUAACUACGUG
rnacentral:rRNA from 1 species